rnacentral:lncRNA from 1 species
CACAAAAGUACCGAAAUAGUUAUAACAUAUUCAAAUACAACAACAUGUUAGUUUGAUUUGGAGAGAAUUACUCAUAAACCAACAAAUACUCAAACCCGAAGAGCAUGUACUCAGACUAGCAAUACAGAUCCACCACGCAACAACAGAAACGGCAAAUCUGUAUCACAACUGAAAACGAAAAUACAAAGCAAACUUCUAAAGAGUUCCCGAUAAUUAAAAUAAUAUAGCAAACUUCUAAUGCUUAAUAGACUAAAACAAACAAAGAAACAUGAUGACCACUCCACAUCAUCUCCGACAACCAAAGAGACCCAUAACGCCAUACCGAUUAAACCCCAACCCACACAAACCAUCAACUUCCAUUGUUGUAACUCCAAACUAUGAAUUGUAGCCAAAACCUUGUGUAUUUGGGCUAAAAAGGGUGGCGACAAUGAUGUUUUGCGGUGGCUGCUUCAACAACAACAACUACAAAUUAGCAUAGCAACUGCUGCUACCCCAUUGAUGUUGACAUUGCCACCUCCGCCUGGAUAGAGAGCACCACUGACAACUCUUAUUACAACACCGAGUAAAAAAACUACCAAACUAGAAAAACCUGCAACCAUAAACAAAAAAAGACAAACCAAGAAGAGAAAAAAAUAAGGGUUGAGAGAGGAGGAAAAAAGAGGGGAGAUUUUUUUAUUUUUUUUUUCGCGGGGGGUGGGGGGGGGUUGUGUGUGCGUGUGUGUGUAGGGGAGGAGCCCCCUUUGAUGCGGAGUUGAAGGGUGUGGAGGGCUAGGGUUUUUUUUUUUUCCACUGCAAGAGAGAGAGGGCGACUUAAUGAGAUUAAGUUCUAAGUUUUAGAUAGAAGAAAGAAAACUAUACGAGAGAGAAUCCAAAAGAAGAAUAAAAGAGGGAGGAAAAACGAGGAAGGAAUGGUAGAGGAAGGACAAAAU